GGAGAGGUGGCUGAGUGGUCGAAGGCGCUCGCCUGGAGAGCGAGUGGGCGGUAUAAAAGCCGCCCCGAGGGUUCAAAUCCCUCCCUCUCCGCCA
rnacentral:tRNA from 2 species